GGCCUUUUGUUUAUGAUUUAAGGUCUAGCCUGCCCAAUGAGAUUUUGAAUGGCCGCGGUAUUUUAACCGUGCAAAGGUAGCAUAAUCAUUAGUUUUUUAAUUAAAAGCUGGUAUGAAUGGUUGAAUGAAAAAAUAACUGUCUCUAUUUAAAUUUUUUAGAAUUUUAUUUUUAAGUAAAAAAGCUUAAAUUAUAUUAGAAGACGAGAAGACCCUGUAGAGUUUAAUUAAUUAUUAUAAUAGGAUUUUUAGUAUUUUUAUUUUUAUUAUUUAUAAUUAAUUUAGUUGGGGUGAUUUAAAAAUUUAAUAAACUUUUUUUAUAUUUAUACAUUAAUUUAUGAUUACUUGAUCCUUAUUUUAAGAUUAAAAGAUAAAAUUACCUUAGGGAUAACAGCGUAAUUUUUUUAGAGAGUUCUAAUCGAAAAAAAAGAUUGCGACCUCGAUGUUGGAUUAAAAUAAAAAUUUGGUGUAGAAGCUAAAGUAUUUAGGUCUGUUCGACCUUUAAAAUUUUACAUGAUCUGAGUUUAAACCGGUGUAAGCCAGGUUGGUUUCUAUCUCUAUUUUAAAUAAAUAUUUUAGUACGAAAGGACCAAAUAUUAGGUUUAAAAUUUUAUAUUUGAAUAUAAUUAUUAUUUUGGCAGAUUAGUGCAAUAGAUUUAGAAUCUUUUUAUGUAAUUUAAUUACAAAUAAUACUUGAUAUUUAGUGAUUUAGUUUUAAUGAUUCUAUCGAGGCUUAUUUUAGUUAUCUCUGUUUUAGUUGGCGUGGCUUUUUUAACUUUAUUAGAGCGUAAAGUUUU
rnacentral:rRNA from 1 species